rnacentral:misc_RNA from 1 species
GAUGAAGAACGUAGCGAAAUGCGAUACGUAAUGUGAAUUGCAGAUUUCAGUGAAUCAUCGAAUCUUUGAACGCACAUUGCGCCCGCCAGUAUUCUGGCGGGCAUGCCUGUUCGAGCGUCAUUUCAACCAUCAAGCCUUCGCUUGUGUUGGGGCCCCGCGGCUGCCGCGGUCCCCUAAAUCCAGUGGCGGGCUCGUCGUCGUACCGAGCGCAGUAGACAUCCUCGCUCCGGGAACCCGACGGGUGCCGGCCGUGAAACCCCCCACAUCCAGGUUGACCUCGGAUCAGGUAGGAAUACCCGCUGAACUUAAGCAUAUCAAUAAGCGGAGGA